rnacentral:rRNA from 1 species
ACCGGAGCUUGCUCCACCGAAAGAAAAAGAGUGGCGAACGGGUGAGUAACACGUGGGUAACCUGCCCAUCAGAAGGGGAUAACACUUGGAAACAGGUGCUAAUACCGUAUAACACUAUUUUCCGCAUGGAAGAAAGUUGAAAGGCGCUUUUGCGUCACUGAUGGAUGGACCCGCGGUGCAUUAGCUAGUUGGUGAGGUAACGGCUCACCAAGGCAACGAUGCAUAGCCGACCUGAGAGGGUGAUCGGCCACACUGGGACUGAGACACGGCCCAGACUCCUACGGGAGGCAGCAGUAGGGAAUCUUCGGCAAUGGACGAAAGUCUGACCGAGCAACGCCGCGUGAGUGAAGAAGGUUUUCGGAUCGUAAAACUCUGUUGUUAGAGAAGAACAAGGAUGAGAGUAAAAUGUUCAUCCCUUGACGGUAUCUAACCAGAAAGCCACGGCUAACUACGUGCCAGCAGCCGCGGUAAUACGUAGGUGGCAAGCGUUGUCCGGAUUUAUUGGGCGUAAAGCGAGCGCAGGCGGUUUCUUAAGUCUGAUGUGAAAAGCCCCCGGCUCAACCGGGGAGGGUCAUUGGAAACUGGGACACUUGAGUGCAGAAGAGGAGAGUGAAAUUCCAUGUGUAGCGGUGAAAUGCGUAUAUAUAUGAAGGAACACCAGUGGCGAAGGCGGCUCUCUGGUCUGUAACUGACGCUGAGGCUCGAAAGCGUGGGGAGCAAACCAGGAAUAGAUACCCUGGUAGUCCCACCCCGUAAACCAUGAACGCUAAGUGUUGGAGGGGUUUCCGCCCUUCAAUUGCUGCAGCAAACGCAUUAAGCACUCCGCCUGGGGAGUACGACCGCCAAGGUUGAAACUCAAAGGAAUUGACGGGGGCCCGCACAAGCGGUGAGCAUUGGUUUAAUUCGAAGCAACGCGAAGAACCUUACCAGGUCUUGACUCCUUGGCCACUCUAGAGAUAGAGCUUUUCCUUCGGGGAUAAAGUGACAGGUGGUGCAUGGUGUCGUCAGCUCGUGUCGUGAGAUGUUGGGUUAAGUCCCGAACGAGCGCAACCCUUAUUGUUAGUUGCCAUCAUUUAGUUGGCACUCUAGCGAGACUGCCGGUGACAAACCGGAGGAAGGGGGGGAUGACGUCAAACAUCAUGCCCCU